AUGCCGCCCAGUCCACUGCAGAGACUGCACUGCGGUCCCUCCCCCAGCCCGAGGUCCACGGGGGUUCCUCGGGGGACAGUCUCAGUUUCGUGCCGUUAUUUAAAGAAUUCUCUCCAUGUUUUUGUAUCGGGAGGCGCCAUCGGCACUUCCUCCCCCUUCCCCCUCGAGUGCCAAGAAGGUGUUGGACCAGCCCGCCCUUCCCUACUGGUGCCCCCUCCUCCCCGGCCAAGGCGCCUGGACCUGGCAAGGACGCUGCCAGCCGAGCGGACUGAUUCACAGAGUCUGUACAUAGUGUAUAUUGCUCUACCCGGCCGCACACCGCGUCCUGCUCUGGCUUUUGCCUCCUUGAUGCCAGCCUGCUGCAACGGACCCUCCCUGCGCCCCUCCCCAGCCCAUCUUACUACAAGCAGCGUCCUGAGGAGACAGCGUCACAUUCUAGCUGCAUCUUUGGCCAGCCUGCGCCAGUGGAGUGGGCUCCGUGUUGCUCAUUCUCUCCGACAGGCUGUCAGCUUCUGUCCCUGGCACGCAGGGUCUUGCCCCCUCUCCGGGGCCUGUGCCAGCUCCCUUCCCUCCCUGUUCUGCGCCCAGCCAUUCUGGGAGCUGGGGAACCCGGCCUUGAGGCCCUGCGGUUCCAGAAGUGGUCAGUCUUGCCCCUUGGCCAACAGAUUUCUUGUCCUGCCUUCUAGAUGCUUCUGAGCUCCAAACCCAGGGGAGCCAUGGCUUCUCAUUUCUACCAAGAGGUUUAAGUUCCAUCAGAAAGGUUGGGGUAGGUUCGUGCAGAGAUGGGGCUGGCAUGGGGGCUGCAGGAGCAGUAUUUUAAGAGAUCAAGAGAAUGAAGCCAGAUCAGUGAAUUUCCUCACAAUUAUUUUCUUUCCCUGAGGUUUGAUUGGCAGAGCAGCAAAAGUUGGGGCAAACCCACUUUGUGUCCAUUGUUUUUAGAAAAAAAAAAAAAACAAAAACGAAUGGCUUCUUGCCAUUGUGGGGCUGGGCUCUCAUGCCUGGGGCCUCUGGGCUGGGACCGUGGACAGCCCCCAGUCAUUGUCCUAAUCUUUGUCAGGACAAAGGUAGCAAGAUGGGAAGGAAUGGCUGGGAGCGGUCAGUUUUGACCCCUAGUCCCCUGGAGAAAAACCAGGGUCAUCUGCACUUGAUGACUGCUUCCCCAGCCCCCAGCCCGAACACCUCAUUACCCUUUCCCCUACAGGGAUCAAGUAACCUGGGAAGAACUGAUUCCAGGAUGUGUUUCCUUAGAUUUCCUUUCCUAGGUGAUUUCCAGGCAGAGCCGUGAUUGGACAAUCACAUCACAGAUCACACUGCAGUUUCCAUGUUGGCACUGUGGAUGGGUUUUUAAUCAAUAAAAACUGGGGGUUUAUUCUCACCUGUCUCUCCACUUGCCCAAACUGCCAAAAGCUGGUGGUGCUGGGACAGGCCUUCACUUUGGAGCCACAGGAUGGGGUGGGGGAGCUCCGUGGGCCUGGGAAGGAGGGUACUGUGGAGGGGCUGCAGGGCUGACCAGAAGGCAGCCUCAUCUGGUCUGGGGGCGGCAGAAGUGGGGUCUCCGUCCUUGUGACUGUUCUGGUUCGCCAUGGGCCCUGUGAGGAUGUGUUGGUGCUUGGGGGCUACUGUGCUGGUGGGUGGGGGGCAUGCUUGCCUCCGAGUGAUCAGGCGAGGCCAGCAGGGGUGUGCUUGCAAAUUCAAGCAAUAAGUUGGGGGGGGGUUGGUCCUGGGAGCUUCCAGCCCAGGCUGGGAGCCCCCAUGGCUUCUGGCAGCUGGACGUCCAGCCCCAGGUGGUGGGGUGAUUUUGGUCAUGGCAGUGUGCCUGUCCCACUGUUACAUGCAUGAAUGGGGGAUACGGGGUGGGGGUGGGGGAUCAGGGCUGGACCGACGUCCUAGUGGACCUGAUGUGAACUUGUCAAACACCACCACUUUUAAAUGGUUUGCUAGGAUUAUUUCUGUAUUGAAAGUUUCUAAUUAUGCUUUUUAAAAAAAUACUAAAAAUAAAGGUUCAAGCUGCCAAAUUU